AUAACUGUUCUCUUUUCUUCCUGUUUAUUAUUGGGUUUUUUUCUGUAUGUAAAGCACUUUGGGGGUCACCUUUAUGUAGGGGUGCAGGAAGUGAGAAUGAGAGAGACAGCUGCAGUAUCCCUUUGCUCUGUGCGCCUCCUCAUACCGUGUGCUUUCCCCAUAAAGCCCUUUGAAGCCAUUUCUGUGUCUCAGCAGCACUAGCCUUGCUCACACACUCUUCUCAAAGGAGUUGGUUCUCAGAAGCUGCCUCGCUGAACGGCUGCCCGUUGUUUGUGUUGGGAUCGGGCAAGUUAGUUUCAGUGUUGGUGCUCGCUCUCGCCUCUCUUGAUUGAUAAGAUGAAGUGUGUGUGUGUGUGUGCGCGUUCUUGUCUGUGAGGAUGACGAUGUAAUUUCAGUGUUUAAUGCUCAUCCCCUCAGAGUCUGUGUGUUCUUGUCUCUUGACAGGUCUGUGAGGUUGAGAAGGUCUCCACAGUCUGGAGUCUGGUCUCUGAGAAGCUCAACAUACCUGUCAAUCAACAGGGACUCCUCUACAAAGGCAAGGCGCUGGCAGGUAGGCUGCACAGCACAGCACAGCACUCAGGAUUACGAGCAGAGCCUGCGCUUGUUGAGUCUGGAUGAUAUGGAGCAGCUGGCGACCCACAUGCUUCACCCUGAGGCUGUGGAGUGCAUGGAGCUGUCCCUCCUGGACUGAGGAAUACUGCUGCUGCCCGCUGCCUUCCCUCCUCGCCCCUCGCCCCUCUUGUUUCUUAGUGCAUCUGCCAGUGCUUCUCACCCACUGAGCAAGGCAUUGAGCAGUGCCAGAUCCUGUUUCACAAUACUGCUAUAUAUUUACUGACUAUUCUUUAAUUAGAACAUUGUAUAUGUUUGGUAAGAUAGACCACACGAUACACCCUUUCUGAGCACAUUUUCUACUUUUCUGUUUCCAAGGAGCCCAGUUUGGUGCAGGAGGAUUGUGGGUAAUGGAGUGUGUUUUUAUUGGUCUGCAGCCCCUGUAUCGGCUUCCAUUAGCAUUGCUGGUAGAGGAGUGACUGGUUCACUUUAAAGCCUUUUUCUUAAAUAAACGCAGACGUUUUGAAA